GGUUAAGCGACUAAGCGUACACGGUGGAUGCCCUGGCAGUCAGAGGCGAUGAAGGACGUGCUAAUCUGCGAAAAGCGUCGGUAAGGUGAUAUGAACCGUUAUAGCCGGCGAUGUCCGAAUGGGGAAACCCAGUGCAAUUCGUUGCACUAUCGUUAACUGAAUACAUAGGUUAACGAGGCGAACCGGGGGAACUGAAACAUCUAAGUACCCCGAGGAAAAGAAAUCAACCGAGAUUAGUAGCGGCGAGCGAACGGGGAGCAGCCCAGAGUCUGAAUCAGCUUGUGUGUUAGUGGAACGGUCUGGAAAGUCCGACGGUACAGGGUGAUAGUCCCGUACACCAAAAUGCACAGGCUGUGAACUCGAAGAGUAGGGCGGGACACGUGGUAUCCUGUCUGAAUAUGGGGGGACCAUCCUCCAAGGCUAAAUACUCCUGACUGACCGAUAGUGAACCAGUACCGUGAGGGAAAGGCGAAAAGAACCCCGGCGAGGGGAGUGAAAAAGAACCUGAAACCGUGUACGUACAAGCAGUGGGAGCACCUUCGGGUGUGACUGCGUACCUUUUGUAUAAUGGGUCAGCGACUUAUAUUCUGUAGCAAGGUUAACCGUAUAGGGGAGCCGCAGGGAAACCGAGUCUUAACUGGGCGUUAAGUUGCAGGGUAUAGACCCGAAACCCGGUGAUCUAGCCAUGGGCAGGUUGAAGGUUGGGUAACACUAACUGGAGGACCGAACCGACUAAUGUUGAAAAAUUAGCGGAUGACUUGUGGCUGGGGGUGAAAGGCCAAUCAAACCGGGAGAUAGCUGGUUCUCCCCGAAAGCUAUUUAGGUAGCGCCUCGUGAACUCAUCUUCGGGGGUAGAGCACUGUUUCGGCUAGGGGGUCAUCCCGACUUACCAACCCGAUGCAAACUACGAAUACCGAAGAAUGUUAUCACGGGAGACACACGGCGGGUGCUAACGUCCGUCGUGAAGAGGGAAACAACCCAGACCGCCAGCUAAGGUCCCAAAGUCAUGGUUAAGUGGGAAACGAUGUGGGAAGGCACAGACAGCCAGGAUGUUGGCUUAGAAGCAGCCAUCAUUUAAAGAAAGCGUAAUAGCUCACUGGUCGAGUCGGCCUGCGCGGAAGAUGUAACGGGGCUAAACCAUGCACCGAAGCUGCGGCAGCGACACUAUGUGUUGUUGGGUAGGGGAGCGUUCUGUAAGCCUGCGAAGGUGACCUGUGAGGGUUGCUGGAGGUAUCAGAAGUGCGAAUGCUGACAUAAGUAACGAUAAAGCGGGUGAAAAGCCCGCUCGCCGGAAGACCAAGGGUUCCUGUCCAACGUUAAUCGGGGCAGGGUGAGUCGACCCCUAAGGCGAGGCCGAAAGGCGUAGUCGAUGGGAAACAGGUUAAUAUUCCUGUACUUGGUGUUACUGCGAAGGGGGGACGGAGAAGGCUAUGUUAGCCGGGCGACGGUUGUCCCGGUUUAAGCAUGUAGGCUGGUUGUCCAGGCAAAUCCGGAUAAUCAAGGCUGAGGUGUGAUGACGAGGCACUACGGUGCUGAAGUAACAAAUGCCCUGCUUCCAGGAAAAGCCUCUAAGCAUCAGGUAACAUUAAAUCGUACCCCAAACCGACACAGGUGGUCAGGUAGAGAAUACCAAGGCGCUUGAGAGAACUCGGGUGAAGGAACUAGGCAAAAUGGUGCCGUAACUUCGGGAGAAGGCACGCUGGUGUGUAGGUGAAGUCCCUGCGGAUGGAGCUGAGACCAGUCGAAGAUACCAGCUGGCUGCAACUGUUUAUUAAAAACACAGCACUGUGCAAACACGAAAGUGGACGUAUACGGUGUGACGCCUGCCCGGUGCCGGAAGGUUAAUUGAUGGGGUUAUCCGUAAGGAGAAGCUCUUGAUCGAAGCCCCGGUAAACGGCGGCCGUAACUAUAACGGUCCUAAGGUAGCGAAAUUCCUUGUCGGGUAAGUUCCGACCUGCACGAAUGGCGUAAUGAUGGCCAGGCUGUCUCCACCCGAGACUCAGUGAAAUUGAACUCGCUGUGAAGAUGCAGUGUACCCGCGGCAAGACGGAAAGACCCCGUGAACCUUUACUAUAGCUUGACACUGAACAUUGAGCCUUGAUGUGUAGGAUAGGUGGGAGGCUUUGAAGCGUGGACGCCAGUCUGCGUGGAGCCAACCUUGAAAUACCACCCUUUAAUGUUUGAUGUUCUAACGUUGGCCCCUUACCGGGGUUGCGGACAGUGUCUGGUGGGUAGUUUGACUGGGGCGGUCUCCUCCCAAAGCGUAACGGAGGAGCACGAAGGUUAGCUAAUCCUGGUCGGACAUCAGGAGGUUAGUGCAAUGGCAUAAGCUAGCUUGACUGCGAGCGUGACGGCGCGAGCAGGUGCGAAAGCAGGUCAUAGUGAUCCGGUGGUUCUGAAUGGAAGGGCCAUCGCUCAACGGAUAAAAGGUACUCCGGGGAUAACAGGCUGAUACCGCCCAAGAGUUCAUAUCGACGGCGGUGUUUGGCACCUCGAUGUCGGCUCAUCACAUCCUGGGGCUGAAGUAGGUCCCAAGGGUAUGGCUGUUCGCCAUUUAAAGUGGUACGCGAGCUGGGUUUAGAACGUCGUGAGACAGUUCGGUCCCUAUCUGCCGUGGGCGCUGGAGAAUUGAGGGGGGCUGCUCCUAGUACGAGAGGACCGGAGUGGACGCAUCACUGGUGUUCGGGUUGUCAUGCCAAUGGCACUGCCCGGUAGCUAAAUGCGGAAGAGAUAAGUGCUGAAAGCAUCUAAGCACGAAACUUGCCCCGAGAUGAGUUCUCCCUGAGACUUUAAGUCUCCUGAAGGAACGUUAAAGACGAUGACGUUGAUAGGCCGGGUGUGUAAGCGCAGCGAUGCGUUGAGCUAACCGGUACUAAUGAACCGUGAGGCUUAACCUU
rnacentral:rRNA from 1 species